rnacentral:pre_miRNA from 1 species
AGACCCUCACCAAUCAUGACACUGAAGCGGGAAUGGAAGCGUAGUCAGAUUGCAAUUCCUACCGGGUUCAGUGUCAUACUUGGUGCGGAUGAGUCUG